GGUGGUUCAGUGGUAGAGUGCUUGCCUUGCAUGCAUGAGGCCCUGGGUUCAACUUCUCAGUACCA
rfam:Dipodomys ordii contig_51184, whole genome shotgun sequence.